GGAUCAAUUUGUCGGUCGUGCCUCGGUACGUACUGGCAUUAUUGGUUUCUACCUUCUGAAGAACCUUGAUGUCAUUAAUUUGGUGUCUUGGGAAUCAGGACUGUUACUUUGAAAAAUUAGAGUGUUUAAAGCAGGCUCGCGCUUGAAUACAUUAGCAUGGAAUAAUGAAAUAGGACGUUGAUCCUAUUUUGUUGGUUUCUAGGAUUGACGUAAUGAUUAAUAGGGAUAGUUGGGC
rnacentral:rRNA from 1 species